rnacentral:rRNA from 1 species
UACGUAGGCAGCGAGCGUUGUUCGGAGUUACUGGGCGUAAAGAGCGCGCAGGCGGUCGUUCAAGUCGCGUGUGAAAGCCCCCGGCUCAACUGGGGAGGGUCACGCGAUACUGAUCGACUCGAAGGCAGGAGAGGGAAGUGGAAUUCCCGGUGUAGUGGUGAAAUGCGUAGAUAUCGGGAGGAACACCAGUGGCGAAGGCGACUUCCUGGCCUGUUCUUGACGCUGAGGCGCGAAAGCUAGGGGAGCAAACGGG